AAGUCGUAACAAGGUAACCGUAGGUGAACCUGCGGUUGGAUCAUUAAAAAAAUCCAAACUCAAUAGUGGCCAACACCGCUAUUGGGAUUUCACCCAACAACCAGUCUUCGGACUGUGUGCACUUGACAACAGUCUGGCGGGUUCAAACAGUCUUUUGACUGGCCCUUGGGCACCCGCCAGGAAUGUUUUUAACGAAUACACUUGUGGUCAUUCUUUGUUUGAAAAUUACAAACAUAACAACUUUUGGCAACGGAUCUCUAGGCUCUU
rnacentral:misc_RNA from 1 species